rnacentral:rRNA from 1 species
AUGCAUUUACCUAUUGCAACCGAGUCAUCCUAUAUUAUUCUCAUUGUAGUUUACACAGUCUGCUCACACGAAAUCUUUUUUGUUUCAUGUAAGAAGUCAAGAACUAUCAUCCAGCUUGAAUUUUUGGGGAUCAUUGUUCACACCUUACAAUUGCUUUGCAGGAUAACAUUCACCCCGACUGUGCAGCACUGCAGUAUGGCUACGGUGACUGGCCUGUGCCUCAGGCUUACGUUGAUGCAAAACCCGCGCGACUUGGUGAGGCUGAGGCCAUCACCGAGGCUGGAUACAUGCAUGCGGACACAGCCACGGCCGCAGCUCUCUGGAAACCAAGACAGCGACAGCAUCGACGGGAUCCUCGAACAACCCGCGUCCUUCUGCCUGCGUCCUUCCCCUACCAUGCUUGCGACCUGCAUCCAGCUAUUCCUGCCCCGAGCCUCCUCAACUUGGCUCCUGGUGAGCUGA